rnacentral:sRNA from 1 species
GCGGUUCUCGUAGCGAUCCGUCGAUUUAAUAUCAAGUGAAUACUACAAGCAAGCAGUUGAGUCACACUCAGCUCGGUUUGCUAUUGAAUGUGAAAAGUGUUAAAUAUACAAAGGCCAUACACAGCUAACUCCUAUCAAAGGAUAGAAAGUGUUGAAGAAAAAUCGUUGAAAAUUUAUAUUCUUACAAUUUUGUUGUUGUUCUACGUGGAGCAACAACUGCGAAUUUUGUCGGUGAACAUUUUUUUAAGCAACGGCAACGAGCGUUGAGACAUUCAAGUGGUGGUUCAAAAAACCACCCAAUAAAUUGCGUCGCUAAAAAAAAAAAGCAAGUGAAUUUUGUCGGUCAGGUCUUUAACACCCGGCCACCAGCGCUUGAGGACACAAGUUACAAAUUUAUUCUAAAAGGAAGUUGUGUCGACGACUCUUUUAGAGCUUGUUUAGAGUUUCCCUAACAAUUUCAUUGUUUCUCUCUAACGGUCAAUUAAAACCACGUUCAAAAUGGCAUUCAGCGUCGAAUUCCAAGCCAGCCAAAAUAGGCCCCACAGCGAAUCCAACAACAACAACAACAGCAACAGCAACAGCAGCAGCAGCAACA